rnacentral:lncRNA from 1 species
UGCCCAUCUCCUUUGCCUCAGUCCUAUCCUCUGUAAGCUACAGGGUUACUAGCUAGGGGACAAGUUUUAAUUAAAGGAGUCUUUGUGAAUAUCCAGAUCCAAAAUAUUCUGGAAGUUCUUUUGGACCCUACCUGAAUCCUGAUCAGCUACUACCAACUUCCUUGGUGCCCUGUUAGUCCUGGAGCCGACUUUCAGGGUUGUUUGAACAGGGCUGCUCAGCUCAGCAGCUUAUCGAAGUUCACAGUUCCAGGUGCUGGAAUCUGAGAUGCAGCUGUAAGUAGAAGCUGGGGUGUGAGGGUGGGCCUGGGAGGAGAGGAGGGAGGGGGCAGUGAUCAGUGAUCGGGAUGUAAAGUGAAGACACAAAGGGAAAGAAGAACCAAACCCAACCAAACAAAAUGC